AACUUUUGUGAGGGGGUGGGGACAUAAUAAUUUUUGAGACACUCAUAUUAGUUUGUUGUGAACGAUGAUAAAAUUUAUAGGAAUUGCAUUCCUUUAUUCGUUUGUCAUUUUUUGGUGGAAGUUUUUUGAGACACUCAUUUUUUGGUCAAAUUAAACUAAAGCCAACAGAAGCAAAAGGAUACCACAAAUUACAGAAUGAUCACAUGGGUUCAAUGCAUUGGUCAUAAAUAAACAAGAACAAAAUCUAAGUAUUUAAUCUUACAUAUAUCAUAAACAAAUCUACGUUUCCAGAUAAUUAAACACUGAUACUCCCCCCAGCUCAACACUAGCUAGUACCUGCAACAACCCACAAAUUUUUUCACUUCAAUUAAACCAAAAAAUUUCAUAGUUAUAGUGAACC
rnacentral:lncRNA from 1 species